rnacentral:rRNA from 1 species
UACGAAGGGGGCUAGCGUUGCUCGGAAUCACUGGGCGUAAAGGGUGCGUAGGCGGGUCUUUAAGUCAGGGGUGAAAUCCUGGAGCUCAACUCCAGAACUGCCUUUGAUACUGAGGAUCUUGAGUACUUAAGAGGAUCGCGGAAUUCCCGGUGUAGAGGUGAAAUUCGUAGAUAUCGGGAGGAACACCAGUGGCGAAGGCGGCGAUCUGGGAAGAUACUGACGCUGAGGUGCGAAAGCGUGGGGAGCAAACAGG